CGGUUGCUUGCAAGCGGACCUCGAAGCCUCAUUUCACACACACACACGAGAAUCACAACGAUUACUCUAGAUGGAUAGGUUCAUCCCUUCUUCCUGUCCGUUCCGUUCGCUUGUGAGUACCACCCCAUCAUA
rnacentral:ncRNA from 1 species